rnacentral:rRNA from 1 species
UACGUAGGCAGCAAGCGUUGUUCGGAUUUACUGGGCGUAAAGAGCGCGCAGGCGGUCGGCCAAGUCGAGUGUGAAAGCCCCCGGCUCAACUGGGGAGGGUCACUUGAUACUGGUCGACUCGAAGGCGGGAGAGGGAAGUGGAAUUCCCGGUGUAGUGGUGAAAUUCGUAGAUAUUCGCAAGAACACCAGUGGCGAAGGCGGCUCACUGGCCCGAUACUGACGCUGAGGCACGAAAGCGUGGGGAGCAAACAGG